UACGUAGGGUGCAAGCGUUGUCCGGAAUUAUUGGGCGUAAAGAGCUCGUAGGCGGCUUGUUGCGUCGACCGUGAAAACCCGGGGCUCAACUUCGGGCUUGCGGUCGAUACGGGCAGACUAGAGUGAUGUAGGGGAGACGUGGAAUUCCUGGUGUAGCGGUGAAAUGCGCAGAUAUCAGGAGGAACACCGGUGGCGAAGGCGGGUCUCUGGGCCGUAACUGACGCUGAGGAGCGAAAGCGUGGGGAGCGAACAGG
rnacentral:rRNA from 1 species